rnacentral:rRNA from 1 species
AGCAGCCGCGGUAAUUCCAGCUCCAAUAGCGUAUAUUAAAGUUGUUGCAGUUAAAAAGCUCGUAGUUGAAUUUCGGGGUUAGCAAGUUGGUCGUGCCUUCGGUAUGUACUGGCUUUGCUGAUUCCUCCUUCUUGAAGAACUGUGAUGCUAUUAAUUUGGUGUUGCAGGGAAACAGGACUGUUACUUUGAAAAAAAUUAGAGUGUUUAAAGCAGGCUAACGCUUGAAUACAUUAGCAUGGAAUAAUGAAAUAGGACGUUCGAUCCUAUUUUGUUGGUUUCUAGGAUCAACGUAAUGAUUAAUAGGGAUAGUUGGGGGCAUUAGUAUUCAAUUGUCAGAGGUGAAAUUCUUGGAUUUAUUGAAGACUAACUACUGCGAAAGCAUUUGCCAAGGAUGUUUUCAUUAAUCAAGAACGAAAGUUAGGGGAUCGAAGACGAUCAGAUACCGUCGUA